rnacentral:rRNA from 1 species
UACAGAGACUGCAAGCGUUAUUCGGAUUCACUGGGCGUAAAGGGUGCGCAGGCGGUUGGGUGUGUCAGAUGUGAAAUCCCGAGGCUUAACCUCGGAACUGCGUCUGAAACUACUCGACUAGAGUAUUGGAGAGGGUAACGGAAUUCACGGUGUAGCAGUGAAAUGCGUAGAUAUCAGGAGGAACACCGGUGGCGAAGGCGGGUCUCUGGGCAGUAACUGACGCUGAGACGCGAAAGCGUGGGGAGCGAACAGG